rnacentral:tRNA from 1 species
AAUAAAAUGGCUGAGGAAUAAGCGAUAAAUUGUAAAUUUAUUUACGAGAAAUUCUCUUUUAUUA